AUUGAACGCUGGCGGCAUGCUUUACACAUGCAAGUCGAACGGCAGCGCGGGCUUCGGCCUGGCGGCGAGUGGCGAACGGGUGAGUAAUGCAUCGGAACGUGCCCAGUAGUGGGGGAUAGCCCGGCGAAAGCCGGAUUAAUACCGCAUACGACCUGAGGGUGAAAGCGGGGGACCGAAAGGCCUCGCGCUAUUGGAGCGGCCGAUGUCGGAUUAGCUAGUUGGUGGGGUAAAGGCUUACCAAGGCGACGAUCCGUAGCUGGACUGAGAGGACGACCAGCCACACUGGGACUGAGACACGGCCCAGACUCCUACGGGAGGCAGCAGUGGGGAAUUUUGGACAAUGGGGGCAACCCUGAUCCAGCCAUGCCGCGUGCGGGAAGAAGGCCUUCGGGUUGUAAACCGCUUUUGUUCGGGAAGAAAUCCUCUGGGCUAAUACCCCGGGGGGAUGACGGUACCGGAAGAAUAAGCACCGGCUAACUACGUG
rnacentral:rRNA from 1 species